GAAUAUUGCCACAAUGGGCGCCAAGCUUGAUGCAGCAUGCCGCGGGUAUGAAGAAGGCUUCGGGUGUAAAGUACUUUCAGUCGUGAGGAAAGGUUCAUACGUUAAUAGCGUAUGGAUUUGACGUUAGCGACAGAAGAAGCACCGGCUAACUCCGUGCCAGCAGCCGCGGUAAUACGGAGGGUGCGAGCGUUAAUCGGAAUUACUGGGCGUAAAGCGCAUGCAGGUGGUUUGUUAAGUCAGAUGUGAAAGCCCGGGGCUCAACCUCGGAAUUGCAUUUGAAACUGGCAUACUAGAGUACUGUAGAGGGGGGUAGAAUUUCAGGUGUAGCGGUGAAAUGCGUAGAGAUCUGAAGGAAUACCGGUGGCGAAGGCGGCCCCCUGGACAGAUACUGACACUCAGAUGCGAAAGCGUGGGGAGCAAACAGGAUUAGAUACCCUGGUAGUCCACGCCGUAAACGAUGUCUACUUGGAGGUUGUGGCCUUGAGCCGUGGCUUUCGGAGCUAACGCGUUAAGUAGACCGCCUGGGGAGUACGGUCGCAAGAUUAAAACUCAAAUGAAUUGACGGGGGCCCGCACAAGCGGUGGAGCAUGUGGUUUAAUUCGAUGCAACGCGAAGAACCUUACCUACUCUUGACAUCCAGAGAAGCCAGUAGAGAUACAGGUGUGCCUUCGGGAGCUCUGAGACAGGUGCUGCAUGGCUGUCGUCAGCUCGUGUUGUGAAAUGUUGGGUUAAGUCCCGCAACGAGCGCAACCCUUAUCCUUGUUUGCCAGCGAGUAAUGUCGGGAACUCCAGGGAGACUGCCGGUGAUAAACCGGAGGAAGGUGGGGACGACGUCAAGUCAUCAUGGCCCUUACGAGUAGGGCUACACACGUGCUACAAUGGCGCAUACAGAGGGCAGCAAGCUAGCGAUAGUGAGCGAAUCCCAAAAAGUGCGUCGUAGUCCGGAUUGGAGUCUGCAACUCGACUCCAUGAAGUCGGAAUCGCUAGUAAUCGUGGAUCAGAAUGCCACGGUGAAUACGUUCCCGGGCCUUGUACACACCGCCCGUCACACCAUGGGAGUGGGCUGCAAAAGAAGUGGGUAGUUUAACCUUUCGGGGAGGACGCUCACCACUUGUGUCAACGAG
rnacentral:rRNA from 1 species